GAAUCUUCCACAAUGGACGAAAGUCUGAUGGAGCAAUGCCGCGUGAGUGAAGAAGGUUUUCGGAACGUAAAUCUCUGUUGAGAGGUAAGAACAAGUUUGAGAGUAACUUCUCGUACCCUGUCGUUACCUCAUUAGAAAGCCACGGCUAACUACUUCCCAGCCGCCGCGGUAAUACGUAGGUGGCAAGCGUUGUCCGGCAUUAUUGGGCGUAAAGCGGGCGCAGGCGGUCCUUUAAGUCUGAUGAGAGAUCCCACGGCUCAACCGUGGAAGGUCAUUGGAAACUGGGGGACUUGAGUACAGAAGAGGAAAGCGGAAUUCCAAGUGUAGCGGUGAAAUGCGUAGAGAUUUGGAGGAACACCAGUGGCGAAGGCGGCUUUCUGGUCUGUAACUGACGCUGAGGCGCGAAAGCGUGGGGAGCAAACA
rnacentral:rRNA from 1 species